rnacentral:miRNA from 1 species
CCGCUGAGUGGGGAGGAGAGAGGGACAGAGAGCCUGCUUCUUUAAAGGAGCAAAGCGGGAGAGGAGAGGAGCCGCUUACACAAGUGUAAGCGGCUCCUGUCCGGUUGGCUCCUUUAAAGCAAGCAGGCUCUCUGUCCCUCUCUCCUCCCCACUCAGCU